UUCGCGCCGCGCCGCGUUGCCGACCGACCGACCGCCCCCUCCUGUCCUGCCCACCCGGCCCGGAUCCAACCCCAACCCACCACCAGCAGCUCCAUUCCCCUCCGGUCUCCGCCGUCCGCCGAAGCCGCCUCCGGCAAGGACCCGGCCGGCGACGCUGCCUCUUCCCCGGCGGGCCGCCCGCGGCCACGCGCGCCCUCCCCGCGCUCUGGCCGUGGCCGGUCUGCUCCUCCCCUCUUCGCCCGGGGCCUCGGGUCGUGCCUCUCGCCUCGCCUCCUCGCGUCUGGUUCGGAUUCGCUCGUCCUCGAUUCGCCGCCCGUUUAGGUUUAGAACCGCACAAGAUUUUGUUUCUGCUCGUGCUCUAUUCGUCAGUUUGGAGUCGCGCCUGCUCUGAUUUUGCUCAUCCUCGCUGUCGCCCGUUUGGGGUCGCGUUCGGUUCGAUUUUGCUCGUCGCCUUCGUCCGUUUAGAGUCGCCGUCCGGUUCGAUUUUGCUCGUCGCCGUCGUCCGUGUGGAGUCUCCGUCCGGUUCGAUUUUGCUCGUCCUUGACGUCGUCCGUGUGGAGUCGCGUCCUAUUCGAUUUUGCUCGUCUUCGCCGUCGUCCGUGUAGAGUCGCGUCCGGUUCGAUUUCGCUCGUCCUCGUCGUUGUCCCGAUGCGCUCGCGUGUUCUUGGUCCGUCUCGCCUCGUCGGGGGUCUCCGUCUCAUUUGCGAACUAGCAAUUCUUUCUUUCUGCGUGCGAUUCUGUUAUCCGAGAGGCACUCCGGGUCCUGGGUUCCGUGUUCGCGUCGGUUGCAGGAACGAACGAGGUCUGGUUUAGAAAUUGGAUUACGGCCGGAGACGGGGAGCGAUGUUCGUUUAUCGUGCUAGUUCAGACCGGUUCCUCAGUUACGUCACCUGCGAUGCUCUCUUGUGAUACUCUCUCAAUUCUUGGCCCUCUGUCAGUUCUUGUUGGCCCUCUGUCAAUUCUUAAGUUCCAGGGUCCGCUAAUUCUUGAGUUCUUGUUGUACUAGUUAGGCCUUAGGCGUGUGUGCUCUCAUCUUAGGUGAUUUCCUAGUUCUGAUGGUGUAUACUGUUUAUGUUCUUUCCAAUUUGUUUCUUUUUUAUCAUGCUUUGCUUUGUUUUGCCUGCUGCUUGACUAAUUGAACACCUGCUGCUUGACUAAUUGAACACCUGCUGCUGCUACUGUUGGACAAAGGUUCCUUCUUUUCUUCCUGGUUUUGCUAUUUCCAUCGAAGUACUCAUAGGAGUUCUAGAUGAGCUGCUGCUAGUUAGUUCCCCUUAGACUACAUUCUAGAUUGCAUAGCAUAACUCAAGAAUUUUGUCAUUGCACAUAUGGGUAUAUAUAUAUUUCUGUUGUGAGCAUAACUCCAGAAUUUAUUUAUCCAUGAAAGCACGUUCAUCACAUGUUUAUGCGCAUGCUUAUUUAUCCAUGAAAAUUCUAUCGUGUCCCUUUCCUUUGGACAAAAAUUUCAACAAACCUAUAACGUGGACAUGUGCUGCUUGUUUUCUUGUGAUGAUGGUGACUAGCCCAACUCUUAUGCUCUGUCAUUUGUUAAUCCCCAGUUAGCGUGCUUGAAAAAUUAUUGCUUGUCAUGUUAAAUUUUAUGGCAUCAACUCGGUAUUGUGAUUAAUGACCUAGUAUUUGUUUAGUGUAUACAUCUAACUUCUUUUCUCUUAAAUUUUUAGUGAUAUGCGUGUUCUGCUAUGUCUUAUGUUGAUAGUACAUUCUUUUUCUUGUAUUACUCAUGUCUAGUCACUGGAAUAAUGCUUUUCUUGAUUUGCCUAGACUUUGUGACAAUUAAUUUAUAGUGAGAUCAUUGAGCUUCUGACAUCCUACUGCAUAAAAUUCUGUUGUAAUGUUUGUUGGAUCAUUGAGUAGUUAGUAUUGAUUCUGAGUUUGUUGGAUCAUUGAACUUCUGCGUGCGCUUCUGUUAUCCGUCAUUUUGUGUUUCAGUGUUUCAGAUAGUGUAGACACUCGCGAUCCCGCGUUUCGUUUUUGCGGCGGAGCGAUGAACGAUUACGUUUUGCGUUCCUGUGUUUUGUGUUCGCCAUCUGGUUUUGAAUUUGGAUUACGGAGACGGGGAGAGGCCAGAGUAAGGUCAGUUUCAGAUCGGUUCCAUCGCUGCGUUGUUCGUCGGCGAUUUCCAUACCUCAAACGCAUGCGCCCUUGUGAUACUCUAGUUUGGCUCGUGGGUCGUUACGGUUGUUCUUACGUUCUUGAAUAACCCAUCUUAUAUGCAGAGAUGGGGUGAUCGUUAUGGUUCUUCUGAUUGCUGCUUAUGUUGUUUCAAAUUGGGUUCUUCUUGUAAUGCUUUGCUUAUGUUUCCAAUGUCUGUCUUUCCAUAUAUGGGGAUGCGUUCAGAGGUGCAAACCGUGUAGGCCGUGGUGUGUUUAUACUAACUAUGCUGUGUUCUACACUAUCUGAUGUGGAACGUAGAAAUAUGUUGAUAUCACUUCUGUGCUAGUAUACUAGAUAUGGUUUGUUUUAUCCAAGUUAUUAACCACAUCUCUUACAAAUUUUCCUUGAGAUGGUACAUGUUUAUAUGCUAGGAGUGAUUGAUGUCUUGACGAAUAUAAUCAUUUAUGCUAACUUUGUAUUGGUAGUUCCUGCGGUAACACACCAGUACUUGUUUACUGCAGACAAUUGACUAUUCUUUUUUCUGAACUUUUUUGUGAUAUGUGUGUUAUGUGGAUAUCAUAUUCUAAUGCUUUUCUAAGUAUUUAAGGUACAGACUUGUGGAUCUGGACAUCUCACAUUUGCUCUUUAUUGGGUUGCUAAGGACACUGAACAGUUUGGCUGGGCCACUGCACGCCCUGGCUAAUCAGGAAGUGUUGCCAUGGAUCAAAUCUGUAAUGGAAGAGACUAGGAGUAACAUUACAACCGACCAACUUAAAGUAUAUGUAUGGAAGACACUGAAGAGUGGAAAGGUUGUAGUGAUUAGAGAGAAGCUUGCAGAACUGUAUGAAUCUGAACAAGAAUGGUUGAGAGCAGCACAAAUGCUUAGUGGCAUUGACUUGGACUCAGGAAUCAGAUUGAAACAAGCUUUUGUCUCUGUUUACAUGUCAUUGGAUUUUCUAAGUCUGGGAAAUCUGACCAUCUUCUUAAAAACCAGGAUGCUUGAUGACACAAACAAAUUAUCCAAGUGCGUCCAGAUUGCACGACUCUAUUUGGAGGAUGAUGAUGAUGCAGUGAAUGUUGAAGCCUUUAUCAACGAAGCCUCGUUUUGGUCACAAACAGCAACUAGGAAAUUCUGAACUUACAAUACAAGGUCUGCUAUGCGAGAAUUUUAGAUCUAAAGCGUAGAUUCUUGGAAGCUGCACUUUGAUACUAUGGUAUCUCUCAAAUUGUGCAACGCCAAAUUGGGGAUGAGCAAGUUGUGUUUGGAAUUGAUGUUGCCUCCAUAUUUUAUUCUCAAAAAUCUUGAUGGAACAUGUUUCUUAGUGCUGCUGUAUAACAUGCACAAUAUUGGCUGGUGCUGGCCCACAACGCUCUCGUGUUUUUGCUACAUUGUACAAGGUUGUUCCUGGCUGUGGUCAUGGAGUUCUACAUAAUACAGACCAAAGAUAUUCAUGCCAAAGGGAGUUCGCAUUGAAAUAUUUACCCGAGGACCCACUUCUCCAACUGGAACGAAGAUCUGAAUCACCCUCACCCGAGGACCCACUUCUCCAACUGACAUGUGGAUCUUGACAUGUCACAUUGGCUCUUUAUUAUGUUGCUAAGGACACUGAUGGGUUGUGUUUGCAUACAACGCAGUAUGGGCCAACAAAAUGGUCUCAUUGCAAGGUGGACGUAUAUGCAAGCAAUGUCAAGAGAGAUAGAAGCUUGGACUAUUGAGAAACAUGCACUGAUUAAUGCCCAUUGGGUAUAUGGGAAUAAAUGGGCAGAAAUGGCAAAAGUUCUUCCUAGAAGGAAUCAGGUACUUCUAUUUGUUCUCAGGUUCUUCUCACCUAUAGCUAAAGUCAAAGACGACAAACCAAGUGGAUUAUUGGAGUUGCAAGAUACACAAAAUCAUCAGUCAUUUGAAUCUUCUUUUCUAAUGACUGUUGGUGCUGCUCAUGAGGCUAGCCAUCCGCUUGGAAGCGAUGAGAGGCAACCACUGUUGUCAACUUGAAACGUAUAAUCUUUUAGGAACGAAGAUCUGAAUCACCCUCACCCCUCAACAGAAAUGUGUCUAGUCAUCCAGGUUCUAGAAUUUCUUUAUAGCUUUCUGGUUUACUUUAGUCCUAUCUAUGUAUUUGCUUUGUGUUUGUGCCCUAUCUAUGUCUGUUUCUUUUUGUUUCUUGUGUGCAAGCGCUCCAUUCUGUGUGUCUGACUGUGUGUGGCUUUGACUCUCUUGUGUGUGUGUGGCUCGACUGUCUGUGUGUGUGACUGUGUUUGGCCGUUGUGUGACUGUGUGUGAAUGUUGCAUUUGACCGUGAUGUGUGACUCUGUGUGUGACUGUGUGUUUGACUCUCUAUGUGUGACUCCGAAUAUUCUGCAUUUGACUAUGAUGUGUGACUGUGUGUGUGACUAUGUGAAUAUUGCAUUUUGACUGUGACUAUGUGUGUGAUCGUGUGUGGCUUGACUCUGUGUGUUUGUGGAUUGUAUGCUUUGCUGAAUGAUUGGUUGUUGUGGCUUAACAUUGCCUUUGCCGGUCCCAAGCCCGGAUGUGAAAAUGUGGAGGGAGUCUGUUUCAGUCUGUUUCUUGUGUGCAAGUGCUACAUUGUGUGUGUGAUCAUGUGUGGCUUGUUUGCUUUGCUGAAUGAUUGGUUGUUGUGGCUUAACACUGCCUUUGCCGGUCCCAAGCCCGGAUGUGAAAAAUGUGGAGGGAGUCUUUUUCUGUCUGUUUCUUGUGUGCAAGUGCUACACUGUGUGUGUGAUCGUGUGUGGCUUGACUCUGUGUGUGUGUGUGUGUGGCUUGUAUGUUUUGCUGAAUGAUUGGUUGUUGUGGCUUAACACUGCCUUUGCCGGUCCCAAGCUCGGAUGUGAAAAUGUGGAGGGAGUUUGUUUCUGUCUGUUUCUUGUGUGCAAGUGCUACACUGUGUGUGUGACUGUGUUUGAUCGUGUGUGGCUUGACUCUCAGUGUGCGUGUGGCUUGUAUGCUUUGCUGAAUGAUUGGUUGUUGUGGCUUAACACUGCCUUUGCCGGUCCCAAGAUCGGAUGUGAAAAUGUGGAGGGAGUCUGUUUCUGUUUGUUUCUUGUGUGCAAGUGCUACACUGUGUGUGUGAUGUGCCCAUAUCUAUGUCUGUUUCUUUGUCUUUUUUGCGCGCGUGUGUGUGCGUGAUGGUGUGGCCUGUAUGCUUUGCUGAAUUAUUGGUGUUGAAUAACUUGUAUUUUGUAUUGUUGUGGUUUAACACUACCUUUACCGGUCCCAAGCCCGGAUGCAAAAAUGUGGAGGGAGCCGCUGUUACCUCCUUUGUAUUGUUUGCCCUAGAAGUGUGGAUAGAAAUUACUCCGUACUAACUGAAUAGUGAAUCUUCACAUAGUAUCGUGGCACAUGAUUCAAGCACUGAAAUGCAUCAUUCCUUGCUAUGAAAAAUCUAGCAAUUAUAAUUGUUGUUAGAGUUUGUUCCGUCUCCUAAACUAAUCUUGCUGGUUUCUUAAAUCUUAUCAGCAUCGAUGAUCUUUUCUGCUAAUAAUCAGUCAUCUGCUUUUGUUAUUUGGCUUUAGGAAAUUAAUCUUGCUGGUUUCUUAAAUCUUGUCAGCACUGAUGAUCUUUUCUGCUAAUAAUCAGUCAUCUGCUUUUGUUAUUUGGCUUUAGGUUGAAUUUUAUGGUUGUCUGAUCAUGCUCGAAUAUCAGCGUCGUAGAUGUCGCUCAUUUGUUCUAGGGAAAGCUUUAUACACAAAAACGUACCAGUAGCGCGUGCCAAAAAGAAUCGCUACUACUACUUACCACUAGCUCCCGGAAAAUAAACGCGUUGCAGCUAAGAUUAUAGCAGUAGGGCGCCAGGCGAAAGAAGCGCUACUACUAUAAUUCUCACACUGUUCUCCGCAGGCUAGGAAUAGUAGCAUCGAGCUCACGGAAAGUGUGCUGCUGCUAAUACACGGAAAGCGCUACUGGUAAUGAAAUUAAAAUAGAAUAGAGAACAUAUACAAAAGUAAAUGAAAGUGAAAGAAAUAAAAAAAGAGGAAAGGAAAAAAGAAAAAUGUGAAGGAAAAUAAAAUAGAAAUAAAAAAGGAGAAAGGCGUAGCAGCAACGCGCUUUCAGUACAAGCGCUAUAGCUAACAUAUCAGUAGCGCGUUCUAUUUGCCUGCGCUAUAGUUAUGUUAGCUAUAGCUAACAUAUCAGUAGCGCGUUCUAUUUGCCCGCGCUAUAGCUAUGUUAGCUAUAGCUAAUGUAGCAGUGACGCUUUUCUGCAAACGAGCUACUGCUGUUUUUGACUUAACCGCGCGGUUCUUCUUCCCUGGCCACUUCCCCCAAAUCUCACCUCGAACUGCUGUCGCCGCCGUUGUCGCCCUGCAUUGCUGUCGGUCGCCGCGUGCUCUCCCGUCGCCCGACCCCGACCUUGACCUUGACGCCGACCCCGACCCUGACCUCGACCUCGACCUUGACACCGACCUCGGCCGACCUCUACGCCGCAUGCCCCUCCCUCGGCCGCUCCCUAACUCCGCCAGUGCCCGAGUAAAGCAAUUAUUCGCGCAUCAACGCCGAUGAUGCCUAUCCCGCAUCCUCAUCGUCGACUCGGCGGAGGAGGCCUGCUUGAUCAGAGGGGCCAUGUCCGGGACUGGGCUCCGCCGGGCUGGUACUAGGAUGUGCUACCUUCCGGGAGGCGCAGCUUGGUGAGGAGCCAGCCUGUCAUUGACCCGAGCCUUCUUUGGUGGCAGUCGCGUGGGCCAGUGACGGUGCAGAGGUUUGAGGACCUCGUGGAGGUGGCACAUCACCGUGUCAGCGAGGAGGACGAGCACGUCCGUCACUACAUGGUUGCGUUGGAGGGCAGGUUCUCCAAUACCUGGCAGGUUCUUCAGGGAUCUCACUGGAGCUAUGAUCCUGUGAUGGU